ACCCUGAUCCAGCCAUGCCGCGUGUGUGAUGACGGCCUUAGGGUUGUAAAGCACUUUCAGCAGUGAAGAUAAUGACAUUAACUGCAGAAGAAGCCCCGGCUAACUUCGUGCCAGCAGCCGCGGUAAUACGAAGGGGGCUAGCGUUGUUCGGAAUCACUGGGCGUAAAGCGUACGUAGGCGGAUUGAUAAGUUAGGGGUGAAAUCCCGGGGCUUAACCCCGGAACUGCCUUUGAUACUGUCAGUCUUGAGUUCGAGAGAGGUGAGUGGAACUCCGAGUGUAGAGGUGAAAUUCGUAGAUAUUCGGAAGAACACCAGUGGCGAAGGCGGCUCACUGGCUCGAUACUGACGCUGAGGUACGAAAGCGUGGGGAGCAAACAGGAUUAGAUAUCCUGGUAGUCCACGCCGUAAACGAUGAAUGCUAGUUGUCAGGGUGCUUGCACUUUGGUGACGCAGCUAACGCAUUAAGCAUUCCGCCUGGGGAGUACG
rnacentral:rRNA from 1 species